AAUAGUUAAAUUAAAGAAAAGCAAAAAAUAAAAAAUAAAAGUCCUAAACAAUGGGAACAAGGCAUCCAAACAACGCAUUCUUGAGCGUUCCCCGACGCCUCAACAGCCAAACCAGUUUCCAGCAGCUCUCUGCGCCGCCGCCCUUCGCUGCAACACUCGGCAUCGGCAUCGGCAUCGGCGGCGGAGGGAGCUCCCUCCGCUCCUGCCUCAUCUUAAUGUCACUCAAUUCCAUCUGCAACGGAAACUUCAUCACUGUCCCAAACAUUCCGUUAUAGCGCGAGUCUCCUCCGGCAACUCUCGCUCCUCCGGCGCCGGCGGCUCUCACUCCCGGACGGCAACCAGAGCCAUGCCACGUACCCGUUGGAGGUUUCCGACCUCAACAGCGCCCGGGUUUCAACUUCUUCGGGUCGGCGCGUUAUGACUUUGCCGCAGAAAACGACGUCGUUGGGGACGCCGCCGGAAACAUAGUUAACAGCCGCGGGAAAAUCGAACUCGAAUUCUGCGGAGCGUUUCAUAACGGAAAUUGUUGUUGUGUUUGGAUCUUGG
rnacentral:lncRNA from 1 species